rnacentral:rRNA from 1 species
AUGGCGAGAUCACGAGACACCAGGCUCAGGCUCACGCUCCUCCUCGUCGCCCUUCUUCUGCUAGUUGACAUGGCAAGCGUCUGCCAUGGCCGACGGACACCGGACGUGGAUGCCAUGGCCGCCCUCGACGGCGCUCCACCACCGGCGAAGGGCUACUUCGCCGAGCAGGCGUCUUCGUCGACGGCAAGGCAGCAUACAGCUCGUGUUUAUCGGCGCAUGCACAGGGUGUCCAAGAGGCUGGUGCCCCAGGGGCCGAACCCACUGCACAACUGA